CAUGUCUCUGAUCAUCCUCAUCCUCACACUGAUUUUCUGUUGUUCUGGUUCUGUGGCUCAGUUUACUGUCAGUCAGGAUGCUGCAAUGUCUGGGACUCCUGGUGAAAGUGUCCGUCUUUCCUGUAGUCAGAGUGGAGGAUCAGUAACUGGGGAUAACUAUCCCGCCUGGUACCUACAGACACCUGGAAGUGCCCCUAAACUGAUAAUGCAUAGUAGUGGUACUGGCAACCAGAAUGUCAGACCCUCUGGAAUAUCAGAUCGGUUCUCAGGAUCCAUAUCAGGGGGAUCAGCCGUUCUGUCUAUCAGUAGAUUGCAGGCUGAUGAUGACGGAGUUUAUCACUGUCUUCUCUAUGGUGUGCUCUCUGGUUCUAGUCAGUACACAGUGAUGUUUAGAGAUAGUAUCAUGUGA